CAGCUGCUCCGGUGCUUGCCCUGUUCCCCUGGAAGACCACAGCUACUUCUAAGACGGGGUGUUUGAAGACUAAGCAGCAUCCCUGGUUCAGACCACAGUGUGUUCUGCCAGCAGAGAGACUGGUUCACAGGAGGAUCUGGCCACAUGUUGA
rnacentral:lncRNA from 1 species